GAGCAGUCCAUUUUCGGGAAAGGGGGAGGAGUCUAACCGAAGAUGUUACCUUUAUAAAGAACGUCUUUGCUGAGUGAAAAUAAAUUAGAGCGAAGCUGCCAAGCAACAAUAAAGUACCCUGAAGCCAGAUUGAGUGUUUGAGAGCUGCCUUGAUUAUGAAGGGGAAAAGUGUAAUGACUGUUUUCCUGUUUGCACUUGUUGCAAAAUACUCCUUGUCCCAUCCUAUCAAUUUAACAGUGAUGUUGAAUGACCCAGUUACACUCUGCUCUGGAUCAUGCCAUGGUGGUGUCAUCGAGUUGAGGCGUUAUCAGGAAUCUCAAUCAGGGUCCAUCAUCACGAAGAUGGUUGCUAAACUUGACGGAGAUAAUUUAACCACAGGUGAAGGAUUUUUUAAGAAGAGGUUUGAAAACAGGGAUGGAAAAUUCUCUCUAACCAUCUCCUCAGCUGAGUACAAUGACAUGGGGUUGUACGAGUGUGUCUGUGGCGAGUACAACCAGCAUGUAAAUCUACAAGUUUUGGUCCCCAAAGAAAAAUCUGCCCAUGUUGGAGAAAAAGACACACUUGUCUGCCAUGGCUUAACUAAUAAAAUGACUAAGGACAGUGAGAUAUUUGUCCAGUGGAUGAAAGAUGGACAGAAUGUGUCUACCAUCAGUGCAGGGAAUAUAACCUAUGGCUCUGGGUAUAAGGACAGGGUAUCUGUGUCCAUGGAUGGUUACCGAAAGGGAGACAUUCUCCUCAACCUCACCGACUUACGCCUUUCUGAUCAGGGGACAUACUGGUGCUUCUUCGGUCCUGACCACCAGAGAGGAAAUCCAGGAGCUGUCAUUCUCACUAUCACACCAAAAGAAAAGCAGGACGACAACACAGGAAUGCCAACAUGGGUGAAGGUGGUGGUGGUGUUGGUGGUUGUUUUGGUGAUCAUCCUAGUUGCUGUUUACUGUUUUCUUGGAGGUAGAUUGAAAGAGACAAUGGCUGCUUGGUUUAAAGGGACUUGGUUGAGAUCUCAGUUCAGUCCCUGUCCAGAAGGGGAACAGGGUGGGGAGCAUCUCUCUGUCACCAUAAGUGAAAGUGAAUCAGAGACAGAAGAAGACAGGACUGGGACAAGGACAUGUUUUGUCCCCUAUGCACCUGCCUGUAUCAUCAGAGCCCUGUCAGGACCUCCCUCUACCACCGGCCUUGUUACCAAGGCUACUGCCGGACCUCCCUCUAUCCCAGGCCUAGUUAACAAUGGUACUGUUCGACCUCCCUCUAUCCCAGGCCUUGUUACCAAGACUACUGAUGGACCUCCCUAUAAUAUCUAUUUCAUGAACAAUGGUACUGUUCGACCUCCCUCUAUCCCAGGCCUUGUUACCAAGACUACUGAUGGACCUCCCUAUAAUAUCUAUUUCAUGAUUGUUUACUGUCUCCAGUUUGUUUAAUAAAAUGUUAAACUUGAACUUUUGGGAGUUGAAUGUAUUUUGUACAUGAUCAAUUCAUUUUACACAUUAUGGAUAUACCUCAAAUGUUAUUCUACAAGAUCCAGACACAAAACAACUGAAUCAAUCGUUAAACUACAUGGUUUACAAUAUGUGAUGAUGGAUACUGUUCCUCUGUGUGCUAUGUAGGUCUACUAUGAUGGAUGCUAUGAUUGACAAAGCAAAGAACAUAACAUCAUAUUAGAAAUUAUCUUUGUAGAAUGUGGUUUCUAUAUUUUACAGCUAUUGUAGCCUAACUAUUUUUAACAAUGUUUUAAAUGCAGCUAAAAUAUAAUUCACCGUUGUAAAACAAAUGGUGUCUCAUAUCGUCUCUCUUUCUACUACCUUACUAUUUGUAUUGUAUUGCCAGAAACAUGAUUUUAGACCAUGGUCAUGGAAAAUGUUUAAAAAGAUUGUUGAGUUCCUUCAGUUCUGUACAGUACUAAUUAGAGUGUGGAAAUGGCUUUAAACACAAUUUUAGGCCAUGUUCAUGGAAAAAUGUUUUAAAAGAUUGUUGACAGUUGUAACACAAAUGGUGUCUCCAAUCAUCUCUCCUUACAGUUCUGUACAGUACUAAUUAGAGUGUGGAAAUGGC
rnacentral:lncRNA from 13 species